CCUACGGGUGGCAGCAGUGAGGAAUAUUGGUCAAUGGACGCAAGUCUGAACCAGCCAUGCCGCGUGCAGGAAGACGGCUCUAUGAGUUGUAAACUGCUUUUGUACGGGGGAAAACGCAGAUACGCGUAACUGUAGGAAAGUAUCGGACGAAGAAGGAUCGGUUAACUCCGAGCCAGCAGCCGAGGUAAUACGAAGGGGGCAUGCGUUAGCCGGAUUUACUGGGGGUAAAGGGAACGUAGGCGGCUAGUCAAGUCAGAAGUGAAAGCCCAGGGCUCAACCUUGGGACUGCUUUUGAAACUGACUAGCGAGAGUGCAGGAGAGGUAAGCGGAAUUCCUGGUGUAGCGGUGAAAUGCGUAGAUAUUAGGAGGAACACCAGUGGCGAAGGCGGCUUACUGGACUGUAACUGACGUUGAGGCUCGAAAGCGUGGGGAGCAAACAGGAUUAGAUACCCCAGUAGUC
rnacentral:rRNA from 1 species